UACGUAGGGUGCAAGCGUUGUCCGGAAUUAUUGGGCGUAAAGAGCUUGUAGGCGGUUUGUCGCGUCUGCUGUGAAAUUUCGGGGCUCAACCCCGAACUUGCAGUGGGUACGGGCAGACUAGAGUGUGGUAGGGGAGACUGGAAUUCCUGGUGUAGCGGUGAAAUGCGCAGAUAUCAGGAGGAACACCGAUGGCGAAGGCGGGUCUCUGGGCCGAUGACUGACGCUGAGACGCGAAAGCGUGGGGAGCAAACAGG
rnacentral:rRNA from 1 species